GACGAACGCUGGCGGCGUGCCUAACACAUGCAAGUCGAGCGGAGACAGUGAGUAGCUUGCUAUGAGCUGUUUUAGCGGCGGACGGGUGAGUAACGCGUGAGCAACCUUUCCCAGACAGGGGAAUAACACACCGAAAGGUGUACUAAUACCGCAUAAGACCACGGUUUCACAUGGAACUGAGGUAAAAGAUUUAUCGGUUUGGGGUGGGCUCGCGUCCGAUUAGGUAGUUGGUGAGGUAACGGCCCACCAAGCCGACGAUCGGUAGCCGACCUGAGAGGGUGAUCGGCCACAUUGGGACUGAGACACGGCCCAAACUCCUACGGGAGGCAGCAGUGGGGAAUAUUGGGCAAUGGGGGGAACCCUGACCCAGCAACGCCGCGUGGAGGAAGAAGGUUUUCGGAUCGUAAACUCCUGUCCU
rnacentral:rRNA from 1 species